CGAAAGCCUGACGCAGCGACACCGCGUGCGGGAUGAAGGCCUUCGGGUUGUAACCGCUUCGGCAGGGAAGAAGCGAAAGUGACGGUACCUGCAGAAGAAGCUCCGGCUAACUACGUGCCAGCAGCCGCGGUAAGACGUAGGGAGCGAGCGUUGUCCGGAUUCAUUGGGCGUAAAGCGCGCGUAGGCGGCUUUGCAAGUCGGGUGUGAAAACCAGAGGCUCAACCUCUGGCCUGCAUCCGAAACUGCAUCGCUUGAGGUAGGUAGGGGAGAUCGGAAUUCCUGGUGUAGCGGUGGAAUGCGCAGAUAUCAGGAGGAACACCGGUGGCGAAGGCGGAUCUCUGGGCCUUACCUGACGCUGAGGUGCGAAAGCUAGGGGAGUGAACAGGAUUAGAUACCCUGGUAGUCCUAGCCGUAAACGUUGGACACUAGGUGUGGGCGGCUAUCAACCCCGUCCGUGCCGAAGCUAACGCAUUAAGUGUCCCGCCUGGGGAGUACGGCCGCAAGGCUA
rnacentral:rRNA from 1 species